AGAUGUGAGGGCGAUCUGGCUGCGACAUCAGUCACCCCAUUGAUCGCCAGGGUUGAUUCGGCUGAUCUGGCUGGCGAGGCGGGUGUCCCCUUCCUCCCUCACCGCUCCAUGUGCGUCCCUCCCAGAGCUGCGUGCUCUCGCUCUGUCGAAGAGCCUUCCCUGAAUAGAGACAGGCCACUCUUCGGUCUAGGGUAUGUGAGUAGCAGGCUGUGCUCCCCUGCUAGAACCUCCAAACAAGCUCUCAAGAUGUUGCUACUAGAUACUCUAGUGCUUUACCUCCCUUGCCUCUUUACAUCAUUAGGCUUCUUU
rnacentral:snRNA from 1 species